GUGUAUUAUCAAAGAAGAUUCAACAUUCAAAUGACAUUCCAUGGAGCAGAUGGUUAAAACAUAGGUUUGGAACAAAAGGCCAGACCUACAGAGGGUGCACAUGGUUUGUAAAAGGUGGCCAAAAGAAUAUCCGAGGAGUGCACCUGCCUCAUCCCAAAAGACAAGGCCAGCAACAUCUUCAAGCACUUCAGUAAUGAUCCUUCCGCAGGUUCACCUACGGAAA
rnacentral:misc_RNA from 1 species